AAACCAACAGGGAUUGCCUUAGUAACGGCGAGUGAAGCGGCAAAAGCUCAAAUUUGAAAUCUGACACUUUCAGUGUCCGAGUUGUAAUUUGAAGAAAGUUUCUCUGAGUAGUCCUUUAUCUAUGUUCCUUGGAACAGGACGUCAUAGAGGGUGAGAACCCCGCAUGAUUUUGGAUACUAUUCUUUGUGAGAUUCUUUCGAA
rnacentral:rRNA from 1 species